rnacentral:rRNA from 1 species
GCGUUGCUCGGAAUGACUGGGCGUAAAGGGCGCGUAGGCGGUUCGUACAGUUGGGUGUGAAAUUCCUGGGCUUAACCUGGGGGCUGCAUUCGAUACGUGCGGGCUAGAGUGGGGAAGAGGGUCGUGGAAUUCCCAGUGUAGAGGUGAAAUUCGUAGAUAUUGGGAAGAACACCGGUGGCGAAGGCGGCGACCUGGUCCUUGACUGACGCUGAGGCGCGAAAGCGUG